UAAAAAUAACACCUCAACAACAAAAAAAUACCAAUAGCAUACUUUUAUAGACCUUUCAUCUCAAUACUAAUUAUGAAGUUGUGAUAAAUAGCCUGCUGCGGAAAUGUUUAUAUUACUUAAUAUGGACAUAUCCUUUGGCAAAGAGAUGGAUGCAUUCUGGGGCGUGAUGUGUUAAAAUGUAAUUGCUAACAUAUACCCAUGUUUCCUUAGACAUUUCUGCUGACCCCUUUAAAAUUUUGAGCGAGGAUAUAAAAUAUUAAGACUGUACUUUUUCAUUAUAAUUUAUAUUUUGGCGCAAUUUUGUGCAGCGCGUCACUGUGCGCGACCAUCACAGAAACCAUUGCCCAGCGCGAUUCCACCACGAUUCCUUAAUCCCUGUCCUUUAAAAAAAACAGCACCUCAUUACAUUAGGCACUUCUAAGAGCCACAUUUGUCUUGUUUAUUGUCUUAUUUGUAUUUUUUUAUUGUCUUGUUAUUUCUCUCUCUCUCUCUCUCUCUCACACUCUAUCUCUAUCUCUCACUCUCUCUCCAUCCCUGACUCUCUCCCCUACCAUCUGAGUGGUGGUUGUUUUUUAGAGGGACGGAGGAACUGGGUUGCUGCCUCUUCUUCAGUCACUUUAAUCAACUGAAAGUGUAAAGAAUGACAAAGCCAAAAUUCAGGCCUUGCCCAAGCUGCCAGGUCCGUCAGCAGGCUAACCGCAAAACCUGCAGUGCUUGUUUUGCCACACUGCCAAGCAAGCGGUUAUUGAAAACUGCAAAAAUUAAUGAUGACUGGGGCCAGAGGGUCAUCAAAAACAAAAAUGCAUCUCGGGUGGUGGCCUCUGCCCAAAUAGCUGUCCAAAAACUUUCUGCCUUGGGCUAUAUGCCCAUAUUAUUUAUCAGCCAGA